rnacentral:sRNA from 1 species
CGGAUCCGGCAGUGCUGCGGAAAGGAGAGAGGACGAGGCGGCCGCGGCAGCAGGAGGUGGGGGACUGAUCGCGCCGGGGGCCGAAGACGAACGCCGCACCGCGCCCUCUAGCUCCCCGCGCGCUCCGGCUGUCGGCCCCACGCUGCUCGUCCACAGAUCGCACCCGGCUCCGCUUGGAGCGGGAGGAGGCACCGGGCCCGAGCUGGGGCGGAGGUCCUCCCCGCCGCCUGCGCGCCCCAAGCAGAGGAUCCGCCGCGGAGAACCGCGCCCGGACUGGAGGCGCCCGCGGCCUCGGGUGCGUCCGCUGCGCCAGAUCUCGGCCUGAUGGACGCCUGGUGUGGACGAUGAGGGAAGAACGUGCCUCCCACACCCGAGAGGUGACCCCUGAGCGAGCCCCGGAUGACCCUGCGACCUGGAACGAUGCGGCUGGCCUGCAUGUUCUCAUCCGUCCUGCUGUUCGGAGCUGCAGGCCUCCUCCUCUUCAUCAGCCUGCAGGACCCCACGGAGCUCGCCCCCCAGCAGGCGCCCGGACAGAGACCUCUGUGGUGUCUUCAAUUAAUGGAAGACCACCAGCCUGUAUUGCAGAGGGUGGCGUGCUUCUGCAGCCCAGAAGAUUAGAGGAAAUCUGGGAAUUCAAGACUUUCACAGGCAUCGACCUACAGUCCCCAGCGCAUUUCUCAGGG